AUUGAACGCUGGCGGCAGGCCUAACACAUGCAAGUCGAACGAGUGGCGGACGGGUGAGUAAUGUCUGGGAAACUGCCUGAUGGAGGGGGAACACUACUGGAAACGGUAGCUAAUACCGCAUUCUAUCAGAUGUGCCCAGAUGGGAUUCGCUUGUUGGUGGGGUAACGGCUCACCAAGGCGACGACCCCUAGCUGGUCUGAGAGGAUGACCAGCCACACUGGGACUGAGACACGGUCCAGACUCCUACGGGAGGCAGCAGUGGGGAAUAUUGCACAAUGGGCGCAAGCCUGAUGCAGCCAUGCCGCGUGUAUGAAGAAGGCCUUCGGGUUGUAAAGUACUUUCAGCGGGGAGGCGUUACCCGCAGAAGAAGCACCGGCUAACUCCGUGCCAGCAGCCGCGGUAAUUC
rnacentral:rRNA from 1 species